rnacentral:rRNA from 1 species
ACUGGGCGUAAAGAGCGUGUAGGCGGUGCUGUAAGUCAACCGUGAAAGCUCCCGGCUAAACUGGGAGAGGUCGGAUGAGACUGCCGCGCUAGUGGGUCGUAGAGGAAUGUGGAAUUCCGGGUGUAGUGGUGAAAUGCGUAGAGAUCCGGAGGAACACCAGAGGCGAAGGCGGCAUUCUGGACGACAUCAGACGCUGAGACGCGACAGCACGGGGAGCGAACGGGAUUAGAAACCCCGGUAGUCCGUGCCGUAAACGAUGUGUACUAGAUGUUCGGUUGACUACGGUUGAUUGAGCGUCGAAGCAAACGCGAUAAGUACACCGCCUGGGGAGUACGGUCGCAAGGCUAAAACUCAAAGGAAUUGACGG